AGUGAAAUUUGAAGUUAGGGUAAAUAGCAAAUCAUUCUUGGAAGUGAGUGUAUUCCAGGUGAUAUUUGGGAUAUACUUAUACUAAAAGAGUGUUCAUUGUGUGACUUUUA
rnacentral:miRNA from 14 species